GUGCUCAUUUGUGAUAGCACAUAUACUAAAAUCGAAAUGAUACAGAGAAGAUUAUUAGCAUGGCCCCUGCUCAUGGAUGGCAUGUAAAUUCAUGAAGCAUUCCUUGUUUUU